UAUCCUGUCUGAAUAUGGGGGGACCAUCCUCCAAGGCUAAAUACUCCUGACUGACCGAUAGUGAACCAGUACCGUGAGGGAAAGGCGAAAAGAACCCCGGCGAGGGGAGUGAAAAAGAACCUGAAACCGUGUACGUACAAGCAGUGGGAGCCCCACCACUAAGCCAGUGGUGAACUCCACAUCCGCAUCCUUUGCUGAGGAUACGGUUAACGGAGCGAAAGCGACGUUCAACCGCAAAACAAGCAGAGGGGGCUUAGUGGUGGGGUGACUGCGUACCUUUUGUAUAAUGGGUCAGCGACUUAUAUUCUGUAGCAAGGUUAACCGAAUAGGGGAGCCGGAGGGAAACCGAGUCUUAAUUGGGCGUUAAGUUGCAGGGUAUAGACCCGAAACCCGGUGAUCUAGCCAUGGGCAGGUUGAAGGUUGGGUAACACUAACUGGAGGACCGAACCGACUAAUGUUGAAAAAUUAGCGGAUGACCUGUGGCUGGGGGUGAAAGGCCAAUCAAACCGGGAGAUAGCUGGUUCUCCCCGAAAGCUAUUUAGGUAGCGCCUCGUGAAUUCAUCUCCGGGGGUAGAGCACUGUUUCGGCUAGGGGGCCAUCCCGGCUUACCAACCCGAUGCAAACUGCGAAUACCGGAGAAUGUUAUCACGGGAGACACACGGCGGGUGCUAACGUCCGUCGUGAAGAGGGAAACAACCCAGACCGCCAGCUAAGGUCCCAAAGUCAUGGUUAAGUGGGAAACGAUGUGGGAAGGCCCAGACAGCCAGGAUGUUGGCUUAGAAGCAGCCAUCAUUUAAAGAAAGCGUAAUAGCUCACUGGUCGAGUCGGCCUGCGCGGAAGAUGUAACGGGGCUAAACCAUGCACCGAAGCUGCGGCAGCGAACGUAUCACCCAAGACAACUUUACGGAGUUGACGAUUGACGGAGCGAAGCGACGUCAAAGCGUUCAUUAAAGUCGAGUUGGCUUAGGGAUACGUUCGUUGGGUAGGGGAGCGUUCUGUAAGCCUGUGAAGGUGUGUCGUGAGGCAUGCUGGAGGUAUCAGAAGUGCGAAUGCUGACAUAAGUAACGAUAAAGCGGGUGAAAAGCCCGCUCGCCGGAAGACCAAGGGUUCCUGUCCAACGUUAAUCGGGGCAGGGUGAGUCGACCCCUAAGGCGAGGCCGAAAGGCGUAGUCGAUGGGAAACGGGUUAAUAUUCCCGUACUUGGUGUUACUGCGAAGGGGGGACGGAGAAGGCUAUGUUGGCCGGGCGACGGUUGUCCCGGUUUAAGCGUGUAGGUGUGUGUUCCAGGUAAAUCCGGUU
rnacentral:rRNA from 1 species